UACAGAGGGGGCAAGCGUUAUUCGGAAUUAUUGGGCGUAAAGGGCGCGUAGGCGGCUUUGCAAGUGACGGGUGAAAGCCCUCGGCUUAACCGAGGAACUGCCUGUCAGACUGUAAGGCUUGAGACCGGGAGAGGUGAGUGGAAUUCCCAGUGUAGCGGUGAAAUGCGUAGAUAUCUGGAGGAACACCGGUGGCGAAGGCGGCGUCCUGGACCAAUACUGACGCUGAGGAGCGAAAGCCAGGGGAGCAAACGGG
rnacentral:rRNA from 1 species